AUGUUGUUAAAACAUUAAAGCUGUUUUUGUGUGUUGAUAUACAUUGUUGUGGCCCUUACUUAACAGCUCAAGCUUUUGGAAUAAGCGGUUGUAACAUGGUAUCAAAGCCAGUAGGUCGGGUGUUCAAUCCCUGGUAAGUGUGAGGGGUCUGUGUU